rnacentral:rRNA from 1 species
GGGGAAUUUUCCGCAAUGGGCGAAAGCCUGACGGAGCAAGACCGCGUGAGGGAUGAAGGCCUUUGGGUUGUAAACCUCUUUUCUCAGGGAAGAAUACAAUGACGGUACCUGAGGAAUAAGCCUCGGCUAACUCCGUGCCAGCAGCCGCGGUAAGACGGAGGAGGCAAGCGUUAUCCGGAAUCACUGGGCGUAAAGCGUCCGCAGGUGGCUUUCCAAGUCCCUGGUCAAAGCUCGACAAUUAGAUUAGAUACCCCAGUAGUCAUGGGGA